UACGAAGGGGGCUAGCGUUGCUCGGAAUUACUGGGCGUAAAGGGCGCGUAGGCGGCCUGGCAAGUGAAAGGUGAAAUCCCUCGGCUUAACCGAGGAACUGCCUUUCAGACUGCUUGGCUUGAGACCGGGAGAGGUGAGUGGAAUUCCCAGUGUAGCGGUGAAAUGCGUAGAUAUUGGGAGGAACACCAGUGGCGAAGGCGGCUCACUGGACCGGUACUGACGCUGAUGCGCGAAAGCGUGGGGAGCAAACGGG
rnacentral:rRNA from 1 species